GGGGUUGUGGCUCAGAGGUAGAGCGCUUGCCUACCAUGUGUGAGGCACUGGGUUUGAUCCCCAGCACCA
rnacentral:tRNA from 1 species